rnacentral:rRNA from 1 species
UACGGAGGGUGCAAGCGUUGUUCGGAAUUAUUGGGCGUAAAGCGCGUGUAGGCGGUUUUUUAAGUCUGAUGUGAAAGCCCUCGGCUUAACCGAGGAAGUGCGUUCGAAACCAUUCAUCUAGAGGUCUGUAGAGGCUCGGGGAAUUCCAAGUGUAGAGGUAAAAUUCGUAGAUAUUUGGAGGAACACCGGUGGCGAAAGCGCCGAGCUGGGCAGAUUCUGACGCUCAAACACGAAAGCGUGGGUAGCAAACAGGAUUAGAAACCCUUGUAGU